ACAACUCUGUGCGGUGGAUCACUCGGCUCGUGCGU
rnacentral:rRNA from 1 species